rnacentral:lncRNA from 1 species
UAAUUUCUUCUUAUAGGUUAUACCUCGUCUUCAUGUUUAUGUUAAGUUCAGUUCAGAUAAUUGCUACGCAGUAAGCAUCUACUCCAGUAUUGAAAUAUGUAACUUCUGUGGACACUGGUAGUUUGGACUGGGAUAAAUCGACAAACCACUACAGCAACUUUCACAACGGGCUCUCUUGUUUCUUAUAUAGAAUGGAAAUGAUUUUGCCUGACUACAUCAUGCACUAAGAAGUGCUAACUAGGCUAAAUUUAUGACCCUGUGUUUUCUCACCGUGUCAAUCAAUCAUACGUGUGAAUAACGUCCUCUUCAGGGAUAGACUGAGAAGGAAACGUGUCGUCUAUUUGGUUCAUAAAUGAUUUUGGCUGAUCUCUUAAUAAGAUAAGCUGAUGAUAUUGAAUGUGGUCCACAGUAAAUUGCCAUAACAAAAGAUAGAGUAAUGCUAUUCGUAGUGAAGACUAUCGACGGUCGCAUUACGUGGUAUACAUAUGUCAAGUUGUUAUUUAAUACAUAGUUUUUAUUGUCUUAUGUAUCAAAUAACAUGCCAUGUAUGUCGACUAUCGAUAAUCUUCACUAUAAAUAGCAUUAUUCCACCAGAUAAGGGAGCAACUUGUUGCCGAAAUAACGAGGAAAGUCUUUAAGUCUCCAAAAUCCUAUUUCACCUGGACCACAUUAAAGUAAAUACAGGUGGUGCACAUGCAAUGACUGUUAUGAGCCAUCUAAAAUAGAUGAAAAUUGCAACUUAUGUUGGCUUUAUAUUCGGCAGUCCCUUUAGUGGGUAACCCUGAAUUUUCAAGAAACUGAUUUAUUCGUACAUUUUUUCCAAGAUGCAUGUCUAGCUAAUAUGUCAGCUUCUUUUGCUCUCUUCGUAAAUCGUUAAUUGGCGAUCGUUCUAAUUAUAUUUUAUGUUAAUUCUCCGACAGUCGAGAAGGAGCUUCUUCAGCUACUUCAACUGCUGCGUGAAGGCUUGACGUUUAUGGAGCAAUUUGGGGCAUUUUGUUAUGACUUCUAUUUUGACAAUGCUACAUGAUGUUGGUUUUUUUCUAUGUUUUGAACAAGUUUGUAUUGAUCCGAUUGUUUAUUUUAUGUAGUUAACCCUUCUGCUCUGCUUGCCUUGCUAAAUCCUGCUAGGUGUUUCUUACCUUGUGCAGAAAGUUUAAUCCUUCUACUCUCAUUUUGUGUUGAAGAAGAUCGUUAACGACAUAAUUGAACCUAUUAUUUGAAAAAAUUCUUUUUUUCUCAAAUUCAUUUAUAAGUCAUUUAAUUUUAGAUGUAAACGUAAAUCUUUUUUUUAUUUUUAACCA